rnacentral:rRNA from 1 species
AUUGAACGCUGGCGGCAUGCCUUACACAUGCAAGUCGAACGGUAACAGGUCUUCGGAUGCUGACGAGUGGCGAACGGGUGAGUAAUACAUCGGAACGUGCCCGAUCGUGGGGGAUAACGGAGCGAAAGCUUUGCUAAUACCGCAUACGAUCUACGGAUGAAAGCAGGGGACCGCAAGGCCUUGCGCGGACGGAGCGGCCGAUGGCAGAUUAGGUAGUUGGUGGGAUAAAAGCUUACCAAGCCGACGAUCUGUAGCUGGUCUGAGAGGACGACCAGCCACACUGGGACUGAGACACGGCCCAGACUCCUACGGGAGGCAGCAGUGGGGAAUUUUGGACAAUGGGCGCAAGCCUGAUCCAGCCAUGCCGCGUGCAGGAUGAAGGCCUUCGGGUUGUAAACUGCUUUUGUACGGAACGAAAAGACUCUUUCUAAUAAAGAAGGUCCAUGACGGUACCGUAAGAAUAAGCACCGGCUAACUACGUGCCAGCCGCCGCGGUAACAC